rnacentral:rRNA from 1 species
GUCUACAGCCAUACCAGCUUGAAUGUGCCCAAUCCUUGUCUGGCCUCAGAAGCGAAGCAGGGAUGGUCCUGAUUAGUGCUUUGUAAGAAGGAUAAGACAUCAGUUUGAAAAGAGCCCCUAUCAGAGCAGUAUAAA